UAUUGGACAAUGGGGGCAACCCUGAUCCAGCCAUGCCGCGUGUGUGAAGAAGGCCUUUUGGUUGUAAAGCACUUUAAGCAGUGAAGAAGACCUAACGGUUAAUACCCGUUAGCGAUGACAUUAGCUGCAGAAUAAGCACCGGCUAACUCUGUGCGCAGCAGCCUU
rnacentral:rRNA from 1 species